rnacentral:rRNA from 1 species
CUGAACAUUGAGCCUUGAUGUGUAGGAUAGGUGGGAGGCUUUGAAGUGUGGACGCCAGUCUGCAUGGAGCCGACCUUGAAAUACCACCCUUUAAUGUUUGAUGUUCUAACGUUGACCCGUAAUCCGGGUUGCGGACAGUGUCUGGUGGGUAGUUUGACUGGGGCGGUCUCCUCCUAAAGAGUAACGGAGGAGCACGAAGGUUGGCUAAUCCUGGUCGGACAUCAGGAGGUUAGUGCAAUGGCAUAAGCCAGCUUGACUGCGAGCGUGACGGCGCGAGCAGGUGCGAAAGCAGGUCAUAGUGAUCCGGUGGUUCUGAAUGGAAGGGCCAUCGCUCAACGGAUAAAAGGUACUCCGGGGAUAACAGGCUGAUACCGCCCAAGAGUUCAUAUCGACGGCGGUGUUUGGCACCUCGAUGUCGGCUCAUCACAUCCUGGGGCUGAAGUAGGUCCCAAGGGUAUGGCUGUUCGCCAUUUAAAGUGGUACGCGAGCUGGGUUUAGAACGUCGUGAGACAGUUCGGUCCCUAUCUGCCGUGGGCGCUGGAGAACUGAGGGGGGCUGCUCCUAGUACGAGAGGACCGGAGUGGACGCAUCACUGGUGUUCGGGUUGUCAUGCCAAUGGCACUGCCCGGUAGCUAAAUGCGGAAGAGAUAAGUGCUGAAAGCAUCUAAGCACGAAACUUGCC